rnacentral:rRNA from 1 species
ACGUCUAAGCAGUAAGGCUGAGUAUUAGGCAAAUCCGGUACUCAUUAAGGCUGAGCUGUGAUGGGGAGAAGACAUUGUGUCUUCGAGUCGUUGAUUUCACACUGCCGAGAAAAGCCUCUAGAUAGAAAAUAGGUGCCCGUACCGCAAACCGACACAGGUAGUCAAGAUGAGAAUUCUAAGGUGAGCGAGCGAACUCUCGUUAAGGAACUCGGCAAAAUGACCCCGUAACUUCGGGAGAAGGGGUGCUCUUUAGGGUUAACGCCCAGAAGAGCCGCAGUGAAUAGGCCCAAGCGACUGUUUAUCAAAAACACAGGUCUCUGCUAAACCGUAAGGUGAUGUAUAGGGGCUGACGCCUGCCCGGUGCUGGAAGGUUAAGAGGAGUGGUUAGCUUCUGCGAAGCUACGAAUCGAAGCCCCAGUAAACGGCGGCCGUAACUAUAACGGUCCUAAGGUAGCGAAAUUCCUUGUCGGGUAAGUUCCGACCCGCACGAAAGGCGUAACGAUUUGGGCACUGUCUCAACGAGAGACUCGGUGAAAUCAUAGUACCUGUGAAGAUGCAGGUUACCCGCGACAGGACGGAAAGACCCCGUGGAGCUUUA